GGAGCCAAAGGGGAGGACAAGACCGCGGGAGCGACCCUCGCGGCCCGAGCUGCCCCCGAAGGACUCACUCCGACACCGGCCAGCUCUGAGUGCGCUCAGCUCCGCGGACGUAGAGCCAGGACGCCGCACCCCCUACGGUCCAACAGCUCCCGCCCAGGGACCAACAUGGCAACCUCGGACCCACACACUCGUGCACACCGAUACUCAGAAGGAGCUUGGAUAGGACCGCCCUCCACUCGCCACAGCCAAACCUACGGCUGCUCCACCCUCCUUGACAGGAAAGACUAGGAGCUCCCCGGGGAGGGACCCAUGCCAGCAUGCUGCCUGGAAUACAGUAGGUGCUCAAUCAGUGUUUACUGGAUGAACUGUCUGUCUCCUUGUCUGCAUCCCCAGCCCCUUGGAUUCUUUCUGAGGGUUGGGUCGGGGUCUGAGCUGCCUCAGGGUUCCCAGCACCAUCUCCAAGGAGCACAGAGAAUGUUUGUUAAAUGAACGAGGGAGGGAGGAGGCAGCUGCAUCCAUUGCUAGGGCAGAUCCAGUGCCCCCAGGCUUUUCCUACUUUGAAUGGAAAUCUCCCCAAAUCAAGCCCUGGUCCCUGACUCCCAGGCUCCCCUGUCUUGGUCCUGUGCACCCCCCGCCCUGUCCUCAAUUGCUGACCUUCCCUGAGCCUGGUCUCCCUCAGAACCAUCCUUUCUUUACUUCUCCAUCCAUCACUUAAACUUCCUUUCCUCCAGCCCCUCCCUCCCUCACCCAGCUCCACUGCCUCAUCACAUCACCAUAAUUCAGAGACACGCCCCCGCCCCCCUCUACCUCCACUUUUCUGGCUCCUCCUCCUCCUCUCCAGUCCCCGAAUGUUGGUGUUCUAGGACUCUAUUCAGCUCCCUUCUUACUUUCUUCUUCAAAAUCCCAUCCACCCCCUCAGAUUCCAGCCAAAGGUGAGGUAACCACGCCCCAGGCUUUGCACCUUUUCCAAAAACCCUUCCUGGAUGUCUCCCGACCCUGUGGACUCCUCACUCCCACCAGGUGGAGGGCUCCACCCCAGGUCAGGACCCCGCCUGCCUCCACCCAGGUCUACUAUCAGGAUGGAAUCUGAGUAAAGGGGUUUGUUUGGGCUGUGGGUAACAAAGAUUAAAAAACAACAACUCUAGGGCUUUGAAAAAGUAGAUACUUAUCUCUCAGGCAAAGAUCUGCACUUAGUGGCCCCAAACUGGAAUGGUCAAAGACCCAAGCUGCUGCCCGGCUGGCGUGGCUCAGUAGUUGAGUGUCGACCUAUGAACCAGGUCACAGUUUGAUUCCCGGUCAGGGCACAUGCCCGGGUUGCAGGCUCGAUCCCCAGUGUGGGGCAUGCAGGAGGCAACCGAUCAAUGAUUCUCUCUCAUCGAUGUUUCUAUCUCUCCUCCCUUCCUCUCUGAAAUCAAUAAAAAUAUUUUUUUUUAAAAAAGAACUAGCCUUUUUCUUCUGACAUCACCAUGUGUCUAUCUCACCUUAGCCCCCAAAAUCAAAGUUCCUUUUGUCCAAAUUGUGAGCCUCUCCAGCCACAGCACUUGUAGUGGAUUCCAAGGUGGGCCGGGCCUGGUUCUCCCACUUCCUCCGCCAGCUGCAAGACACCUCCAUGGAGUUUAGCUCCUCCGCCCUUCUCUGAGUGCCCAUUGCCCAACAGCCUUGGCUAAAAGGAAGAUAUUGAAUCAGUUAUAUAGGCCUUCCUUGCCCUAUCGCUCUGCCCAUCCCUCUCCUCCCGCUACCUUCUGAAAAGGGAGACUUCGCCAUGCCGGUUCUGUCACGUGCAGGGUCUGUGUGGUAUACCAGCAGCCAAGGGCAGGCCGGACUGCUCCACAGGA